AUCUACGCCAUGGUCCGUUUCCGCCCCGGCGGGCCUUUGCUUCUAACCGUCUCCGGACAGCCUUAUUCGAACUUGACCUCAGAUCAGGUGGGACUACCCGCUGAACUUAAGCAUAUCAAUAAGCGGAGGAAAAGAAACUAACAAGGAUUCCCCUAGUAACUGCGAGUGAAGCGGGAAGAGCUCAAAUUUAAAAUCUGGCGGCUUUGCCGUCCGAGUUGUAAUUUAGAGAAGCGUUUUCCGCGCCGGACCGUGUACAAGUCUCCUGGAACGGAGCGUCAUAGAGGGUGAGAAUCCCGUCUUUGACACGGACCCCCGGGGCUCUGUGAUACGCUCUCGAAGAGUCGAGUUGUUUGGGAAUGCAGCUCAAAAUGGGUGGUGAACUCCAUCUAAAGCUAAAUAUUGGCGAGAGACCGAUAGCGAACAAGUACCGUGAGGGAAAGAUGAAAAGCACUUUGGAAAGAGAGUGAAACAGUACGUGAAAUUGCUGAAAGGGAAACGCUUGAAGUCAGUCGCGUCCGUAGGAAUUCAGCCUUCGUGGUGUACUUUCCGUCGGACGGGCCAGCAUCACUUUCGGUUGCCGGAAAAGGGUGAGGGGAAUGUGGCACCUCUUCGGAGGUGUGUUAUAGCCUCUCGCCGUAUACGGUGUUCGGGAGUGAGGACCGCCUUUUUGCAGGAUGCUGGCGUAAUGGCUUUAAACGACCCGUCUUGAAACACGGACCAAGGAGUCUAACAUGCCCGCG
rnacentral:rRNA from 1 species